GCCGAGUCUCAGAGCAAAUCCGAAAAUCCGGCCUGAGCUUUUAAUCUUUUUUCUGUUUUGAUGUCCACCCUCCAGAGCGCUGAACGGUCUUUACUCUUUAACGCGACCGUUAACCUCCUUAGAACUUCUUCCCCGCCCCUCCCUGGUUCAUACGGACCAUACCCAAAUGACGCUUGAGAACUGAAAACUGAAGUAGCAAAUCGCAACUCCGGUAACCAAGUACCUUACAGCACAGAGAUAGAGCAUGAACAUGGCUUCCUUAUCUAACCCACCAAUUCCCGCAUGCUUGUAUGGCCACUCCAAUCCUAUCUCUUUCUAUACCUCUCCCAUGAUCUUAUCUUUCCCUUUUCACCUAACGGCGUCGCUUAAUCCCCGUGUUUCUGCGCUAAAGACUGGAUCCGACGGGCUCAGGAAACCGAUUGUCCCUCCGCGGAAGGACAUGGGUGGUGGAAUUUCUGAAGAUGAGGAGGACAGUGACGGGAAGAGAAAUUACGAGGAGAAGGAAGAUGAGGAAUGGGUCGAUUGGGAGGACCAG
rnacentral:misc_RNA from 1 species